rfam:Picea glauca, whole genome shotgun sequence.
AUGUACAUUCCUACAUCAUAGUGUUAAUUCACCAGAUCCCAUUAGAACUCUACAGUUAAGCAUGCUCAAUCUAGGGUAGUAUUGGGAUGGGUGAUCACCCGGGAAGUCCUAUUAUUUUACAUG